rnacentral:rRNA from 1 species
AGUGAACGCUGGCGGUAUGCCUAACACAUGCAAGUCGAACGGCAGCACAGUAAGAGCUUGCUCUUACGGGUGGCGAGUGGCGGACGGGUGAGGAAUACAUCAGAAUCUACUUUUUCUUGGGGGAUAUCGUAGGGAAACUUACGCUAAUACCUCAUACGACCUACGGGUUAAAUCAGUGGUUCUUCGGACCUUUCGUGAUUCAUUUAGCUGAUGUCGGAUUAGCUAGUUGGCGGGGUAAAGGCCCACCAAGGCGACGAUCCGUAGCUGGUCUGAGAGGAUGAUCAGCCACACUGGAACUGAGACACGGUCCAGACUCCUACGGGAGGCAGCAGUGGGGAAUAUUGGACAAUGGGCGCAAGCCUGAUCCAGCCAUACCGCGUGGGUGAAGAAGGCCUUCGGGUUGUAAAGCACUUUUGUUGGGGAAGAAAAGAAGAAGGUUAAUACCUGGAUGUUUUGACGGUACCCAAAGAAUAAGCACCGGCUAACUUCGUG